CUCGCUGUCGUUGUUGAAUGGCCUGGAAAGCGCUGCGUAGGGGCGAGUGCAACCGAACGUUACAAAUUACGGUGGGAACUUCUCUCCGUGCUACGUGAUUGCGACGACAAGGACGGCUAGCAGCAGCGUGUCGCCGAUUUCGUCUUUGCCGACAUCGAACAAGUGCAGCUCGCCGGAGCGGGGCAAGCACCUGAAGUGUUGCGGUCUGCACUGGCGUCGUCUUUCAUUGUGAUGUGAGAGAUCGUAACGCACAGAGACUGCCAGGUGCAUACGAAAGCCUACCAGCAGGGAGUGACUGUGCCAUUUUUCUCUUAACGUCUCAGAUAUUGAAGAAGCGGCAACAGCCACAGGAAGUAGCCAUCUUAUCCAGCACGUUAUAGGUAGAACUUGGCGGCUCCUGCUCCUGCCUUCCGCCACCACCCUGUCCUGACUAUGUCCACGAGAGAGUUGGCAGCCUCAGUGAAGAUGCCAAGCAGGCCGAUGGCAGACAGCAAGAUGCAGGU